rnacentral:lncRNA from 1 species
AUUUUUUCCAUCCUUUCAAAAAUUUAAAAAAAAAAAAAAAAGGAGAAAUAUUUCCUCCAUCGAGGGAAAGAGAGGAUACCAAGGAAUAAAGCGAACCCGUUACCCGCAACAUUGUUCUUCCUCGAACUCCACCUCUAACCAGAAACUAGCUUCCCGAGGAAGGAAGGAAAGGAGUGUGGGCAUCGUGUGAAGAUACUGAAGAGGAGGAGUCCAAAGAAAGUGGCUUCCUCGGAAGCGGGCAGCAAGAAGGAACCGUACGGUAUUCCAAGACGAGUGAUCCCUAAGAAAAGGGGAGGCAUCGGCCGUGCAGCCGUCUCGGAUGCCCGUUUUGGUCAGCGGAGCUUCAUUCGCAUGCAACUUCGUCCGCGGCUCUUACUUGGAAGUACGUGUGACCACGUCGGCAACCGGUAACCGGGCAACGGCCACCGCGGUCCCCGCUUCUUUAUUCCUUUCUUGUGAGUGUCGACAAGGUUCAUUCAAUGGUUUCGGCCUGAAUCACGCGGACCAGCGUGGAGGAUCGCGCCACGGAGAGAAAAAGACGUUUCUCGUCCUUCCGAGUCGGGGGGGCAUCCCAUUUUCGAUCGUGUUAAAAAUGACUUCAUAUCGGGAGAAUGGACGAAUUAGUGGAAAUAACUUGGUAGUUUGGAUAAUGUUCCGGACAUGGAUGGAGAUUGGAGAGGAAAAUUAUUACUUGAGAGUGACUGGUUAAUUUAUACAAAUUUUCCAUGGACAAGCUUUAGACGUGUAGUUUUUUAAAGAUACGUAAGAAGAUUUAAUAAUGAAUAAAAUACAUUGGAAUAUUAGAAGAAAUAUUGAAAUAUAUUAUUAAUGUACAAAUUCAAUCUAUAAUUAAAUAAAGGAUCCAAUAAAAUGAAUCUGUCGUUAUGGAAAGAUACCUGAACAAAUUAAUAAAUCUCUCAUCGAACGAAAAAAAAUAAAGAAACGUACCAAUUAUAUAUAUAUCUUCCAUAUUAUCUUUAUUAAAUCUCUGUAAAAAUUCAAAUAAUUUGCAUCUCGUCGCCGUUUUCAUGGUGCGCCAUAUGCAUAACGCGUGGCACAUGCGCGCCCCUAAAAAUCCGGAGGGCCGUCGAAUCGAACACACUUUCUCCUUCCUUCCGCCGCCAUUCUCACGAUUGCUAUGCGAAUCGCCUCAAUUAAAUUCGCAUCAAAAUCCAUUCCACCGGCGCUGAUUCAUUACCCGCUCACGCUUUAAUUUCACUCGGCCACGCGGUAUGCGCCACAUAAUUUACCGCCUCGGCCUUUUAACCUGGCAGCGCCUUCGAGCGCCUUCAUUUUGUCUCUAACACCGAGACCAGCGCAACGAGAGGAGGCACUACGUGGGGCGCCCUAACCGAUCCGGAUUCACGAUAUCCCCAAAUUACCGAGACCCGUUAUGUCAUCCCAACUUUCCCUCUGCCGUUGUUUUUCUACCCGUCCACGCCUAUUUCUCAUGACAUUAUAGGCACGACCUUCCUGGAGAAAAAGAAGAAGGAGGAGGAGGAGGAAGAGAUGGAGAGAAAAUCAAUGUUUCUUUUAUCUUCCUUUCCUUUCUGAUAAAUAGGAGAAGAUAGCAGGAUGUAAAAUGGAAUGUAACGAAUAUAUUUCAUCGUCGAUGAAGAAAUCGAAGGAUAAUAAGAAAUAAAUUUAUUAUAAUCGAGUGAGAUUGGUUAUAGAUUCCUUUUUUUUUUAUUAUUUGUUUUCGCAAUUACAAGAAAUUAAAAUAUUGAUUUUCGAUUCGAGAUAAACGUAUUCAUACAUCUGCAUAUCUAAUAACUCUCAUAAUUAUUUUCUUAAUACUACAUUAAUUUUAUACGUUUAAAUAUAUAUUAUAUAUUGAUAGUUUUAAUGUAGUUGUUUUAAUGAGAAAACUUUUAAUUUUUUUCCAUUAUGAGAUUAUUUCUUCAAAGUGUUCAAGAAUUUAAUAUUUAACUUACGCUUCGAAAUAAUAAUUCCCCUAUAAUCAUAAAUCCGAUCCCAUUUCCUUCAACAACAGAAAUUCCUCUAACACCAAUUCCUUCUCCACCUCCUCCUUAAUCGAUCCGCGCAAAACCGAUCGAUUAAUUAUUCCGCAAACAGCCGCGGUAUCGAUAAUUAGUCGCGUUAAUAACUCGGCUCGAUCACGCGUGGGCAAACACGCGUGCUCGCCAAGCCGGUGAAUGUCGCUGUAACGGGUGUUCUAAAUGUCAGCCACGUUCCACGACGAAAUUACGCGGCUGAGAUUUUUUUCUAACUUUCAAAACCGUUCGACGCCUGCACACGGCCGACUUUAAGGUCAUCCCAGUAAUUAUACGCCGGCCACCGCGUGGCUCGUUCGAUUGGACGAUCGAACGUUUGCUCCCUGUGAAGCUUGGAAAGAGAGAGAGACUAUAUAUGUGUGUGUAAGAAUGAGAGAGCGAGAAGGAUCUAAUUGUGCAACGCGAUCGAACGGCGGAUACCGUCGCUUCAGCUGUCACGGUUUUACCAGCGACGAUGAAGAAUUUCGUGCCACGAUUGCGUGAUAGUGGCGGUAUAAAUCAGUGAUACAAUGAACUAUCAGGGCGACACCGAGCCAACACCAGCUGUUUCGAGUGUACGGUUGAGCCUGUGUGCUGAGAGGGGGAGGGGGGAGAGAAUCGACGUAUUUCGUAUACCGCAGGACCGAGGCUUUGCGCGAAAUUGGCCGCCGAUGAAGAGGGAUUUGUUAAGUGUUGCUUUUCGAUCUAUAUGGGCUUCGAUCAUACGAAGCGUGAAUUACACGGAGGAUCUGUUUCUGUGGAGUGGACGGAAAUCUACCAUCCAAGCCAAACAUCUUCCAAUUUUUGUGGCCAUGGUUUCGUAAAACAUCGGUAUAACAAUUCGUUAGACUUCUUUCCACCGUCUUGCUCGGCGGAUGCUAACCUCGCGGCGACAAACGAAAAAACCGAUCGCUGGAUUUUCGAUGCAGCGCGCUGCUAAUCAUUAAUUAGCCGUUUCUUCGACGAGGGAUCGCCUCUUGCCCUUUUCGACGGUUCUUGCUCCUUGGGGACGACAAGCAGCGGUUACACGAGGGAGGAGGGGGGCGGAGGGGAUGGUAAGGGAGACAAGGACACGCGAGCGUGGUGAACGUCGAAGGUGGAAUGUCGAGGAACAGCCACCCUGUAAACGUUCGAUUAAUUUUUCGUGUCGGUGACAUCGGUCGUUCGAUCGUCCCUGUUUUUCAAUCCAACCCAGCCUCAAUGAAGAUCGACGAAACACGGAUCUUGCUUAUGGUGCUCGUGCAGGAAUCGUGUUAACUGGGGAUCGAUGGUUUCAUAGGUAACAACUAGAAGAUCUAUUUCAUUGCUCGUUAUUUGCUGAGAAGAUCGACGCCAAUUUGACGAAACUGAUGAUAGAGCAUUUGUUAAAUACGAAUUCUAAUUAUUAAGUAUAUAAAUUAUACUUUAAAUAAUUUUUAGUGUCAUUAUGUUUUAAAUAUCUAUUACUAACUCACUUUACUAUCAGAAUUUGUUCAUUUUUUUCUAAAAAGAAGAAAAAAAAAUAAAAUUUAUAAUGAAAUUCAUUCAACAGUUA